GGGCCAUUAGCUCAGUCGGUUAGAGCAGAGGACUCAUAAUCCUUUGGUCGUUUGUUCAAGUCAAACAUGGCCCA
rnacentral:tRNA from 2 species